AGUCGAGCGAACGGACGAGAAGCUUGCUUCUCUGAUGUUAGCGGCGGACGGGUGAGUAACACGUGGAUAACCUACCUAUAAGACUGGGAUAACUUCGGGAAACCGGAGCUAAUACCGGAUAAUAUUUUGAACCGCAUGGUUCAAAAGUGAAAGACGGUCUUGCUGUCACUUAUAGAUGGAUCCGCGCUGCAUUAGCUAGUUGGUAAGGUAACGGCUUACCAAGGCAACGAUGCAUAGCCGACCUGAGAGGGUGAUCGGCCACACUGGAACUGAGACACGGUCCAGACUCCUACGGGAGGCAGCAGUAGGGAAUCUUCCGCAAUGGGCGAAAGCCUGACGGAGCAACGCCGCGUGAGUGAUGAAGGUCUUCGGAUCGUAAAACUCUGUUAUUAGGGAAGAACAUAUGUGUAAGUAACUGUGCACAUCUUGACGGUACCUAAUCAGAAAGCCACGGCUAACUACGUGCCAGCAGCCGCGGUAAUACGUAGGUGGCAAGCGUUAUCCGGAAUUAUUGGGCGUAAAGCGCGCGUAGGCGGUUUUUUAAGUCUGAUGUGAAAGCCCACGGCUCAACCGUGGAGGGUCAUUGGAAACUGGAAAACUUGAGUGCAGAAGAGGAAAGUGGAAUUCCAUGUGUAGCGGUGAAAUGCGCAGAGAUAUGGAGGAACACCAGUGGCGAAGGCGACUUUCUGGUCUGUAACUGA
rnacentral:rRNA from 1 species